rnacentral:rRNA from 1 species
CACUGGGACUGAGACACGGCCCAGACUGCUACGGGAGGCAGCAGUGGGGAAUCUUAGACAAUGGGCGCAAGCCUGAUCUAGCCAUGCCGCGUGAGUGAUGAAGGCCUUAGGGUCGUAAAGCUCUUUCGCCUGUGAAGAUAAUGACUGUAGCAGGUAAAGAAACCCCGGCUAACUCCGUGCCAGCAGCCGCGGUAAUACGGAGGGGGUUAGCGUUGUUCGGAAUUACUGGGCGUAAAGCGCGCGUAGGCGGUUAUUCAAGUCAGAGGUGAAAGCCCGGAGCUCAACUCCGGAACUGCCUUUGAAACUAGAUAGCUAGAAUCUUGGAGAGGCGAGUGGAAUUCCGAGUGUAGAGGUGAAAUUCGUAGAUAUUCGGAGGAACACCAGUGGCGAAGGCGGCUCACUGGCUCGAUACUGACGCUGAGGUGCGAAAGUGUGGGGAGCAAACAGGAUUAGAUACCCUGGUAGUCCACGCCGUAAACGAUGAUAACUAGCUGUCCGGGCUCAUAGAGCUUGGGUGGCGCAGCUAACGCAUUAAGUUAUCCGCCUGGGGAGUACGGUCGCAAGAUUAAAACUCAAAGGAAUUGACGGGGGCCCGCACAAGCGGUGGAGCAUGUGGUUUAAUUCGAUGAUACGCGAGGAACCUUACCAGGGCUUAAAUGUAGAUUGCAUUAGCUAGAGAUAGCUAUUUCUUCGGACUAUCUACAAGGUGCUGCAUGGUUGUCGUCAGCUCGUGCCGUGAGGUGUCAGGUUAAGUCCUAUAACGAGCGCAACCCCUGUUGUUAGUUGCCAGCGAGUCAAGUCGGGAACUCUAACAAGACUGCCAGUGCAAACUGUGAGGAAGGUGGGGAUGACGUCAAAUCAUCACGGCCCUUACGUCCUGGGCUACACACGUGCUACAAUGGUAGGGACAGA